ACUCUCCAAAAAAACUCCUCCAACCGACAUUAGAAAGUCAGGAACCUGGCUCAAUGGCUCCCAGUUAAAAGAUAAAUACGCAGCGCGGUUACGUAGAGGCCGGAAGAAGCACGCUCUAUCAUGCGAAAGGCCGGCAUUGCCUCUGAGCGCUCCCCGUUAUGCGUCUUCGGUAACCUGCUGCUCGUGAGCCGGACUCCGGUACUGCCUUUCGUUCCCUGCGGAAUAUUGGGAUCAGCAUUGCAGUUUCCUUACUAGUAGAAUUACAGAAAUUCUCAUGUACUUCAAUGGCUCUGUCAUUUCCUAAUAGUGACAUUUGAGAAAACCCUAAUGGAAAUCACUUAAAGACAUCCGUAAGUCCAUCAUGGAGGAGCAGUGACCUACAAAUCAAUCAUUCCGGGCUGACUUUUUAAAUCUCGGACUUAUACUUGGAUUUGUUUAAUGUCAUGUUGCUUCCACUCUCCAUGGGACAUCAGAAAAUGUGUCUUAUCAGGCAUUACAGCCUCUGCUUUCUAAUAUAGAAUUGAUUUCAGGUUGGUAAUAUUCACUGAUUCGUCUACAAAGCUGUCCACGGCAGGAUGUGGCUCUUUAUAUGCUUUUAUAGCUUACUGCUUCAAAUCAAUUCAUCCAACUGAUGUAUAUACACGAGUAAUCUUUAAACAUGGAUUACCGGUGUGUAAAGCCGGCUGCCAUCAUUUGCUUUACAUGUUCCUUUCUGCUCUGCUAUCUAGACGGCUCCUAUUGUUUCCGAAUAAUUCUGUAGAACUAAUUAUUAGAAAAUCAUGUUCUGUAAUGUUAUGGAUCCAGCCAGGUGUGUAGGGGGAAAUAUGGAAGCAAUGCCAUUAGUGAGGAUUGGGCUCAUACACAUAUGAUGUUAAGUGUCAGUGGAUUUACAAUACAUUUAACAAUAGCAGAUGCAAAUCAAUAACAUUUAGAGAACAGUAGCAGAUAAUGGUUGAAAACUUAACUUGUCAAACCAGACCUGGUUGCUUUGAACAACACUGACACUUUUUUUUAGGACAGUUAUUUUGCAGAAUGGCUACUUUGCACAAUUGUAUGUAGUCAUUAUCAUAAUAAAGUAGUAAGUUUUAUA